CUUACUGAGACCGGUUUCAACACUGAGAAAGUUAAGAGAAUGGAGGAAAAAAAAAGGAAGGUAAGUGAAGGAACGUAAAGAAUGUAUAUAAGAGAAUGGAAGAUGAAGGAAGAGAAGUACAGAGAAUAUAAGGGUAAGGAAUUAAAGAUGAAGAAUGGUAAGUAAAGGUUAGGAAAAUGAGAAGAAAAGGGAAGAGAACAUGUGAAGAAAGGAAGAAGCGAGAAGAAAGGAAAGCCCGUAUAAGAGAAAGGAAGAUGAAGGGAGGGAAGUAAUGAGAAUAUAAGAGAAGGAAGAAGGAAGAAAAAUGAGAGAAGGAAAGGGAACAUCAGAGAAAGGAGGAAGUGGGAGGAAAGUUAAGUAAAGAAUGUAUAAGAGAAAGGAAGAUGAAGGAAGGGAAGUAAAGAGAAUAGAAGAGAAACAAAGAUGAAGGAAGGAAAGUGAAAGAAGGAAAAUGAGAGGAGUGGAAAGAGGGACGGAGGGGGAGCGCGAGCGAGCGGGAGCAGAGGGAGGCGUGUCAGCAAUGUGGUGCAACGACGAUAAGAUAGAGUACGUACGUCCCCCCAACUCACGCACUAAAAAAUAUCCUUGUUGCACCAUCUGACAGUAACGGCUCCAUUCCAUCACUAACCCACAAACUAACUAAACUAUCUCACCUUUUCCCGUUUCUAUAGACUUAUGGAUACAUGUUAAAGGUAGUGAGGUAGUGAAAUAAAGGAAGGGAGCGAGGUGAGUAAGUCCUGCUGAUUCAUUCUCUCGGCAUCUGGCAUUGACGCGCGUGUGGUGACGUAGGAGGACAGGUUUGUGGAUAUAUACCAGCUCGGCCGCGGUCACCAGCAGAAGCACCCAAGGCAGAGAAAGGGGAACAUGGAACUGUCUCCUCUCUGUUGGGUGCUGCCUGCCGCGGUGGUGCUGGGGCGAGAGAGCGGCGGGAUUGAUCUGUCCUGCCCCCAGUGACAGAUCGUUGAUCCCUCACCGGGGGCAGGACCCAUUCUCCUCUUACCCACCCAGGACGGACUAACCCCUUACGACGCAUGGCGAGGCUCUGACACGCCCACUGCUGGAAGUCCCUGUAGCGGGCCCUGCGUCCGCAUCAAUGAUCGAAGGCAAUGUGUUUCCUUUCUGCAAGCUGGUCUGUCAAGCUCUUCACAACCACCAGGAAAAAAAGGAAAAAAAAAAAGACUGGUGGUGCGGAGUCUUGCAGCCAGUCACGUCUCCGACACUGAAGAUCGCUGUUGUCUGGUGACGGUAAAAGGAGAGGCAAAGAGAGAUUUUUAAUGAGUCUCUCUCUCUCUCUCUCUCUUUCUCGCUCUCGUUCUCUCUCUCGCUGUUGCUUUCGUUUGUCGUCCAGCAGAGGGCGUGUGCUUCCUAACGAAUUAAGGACACGCCCCUGACACCCUCGACUUGGGUCAUAUUCUUAAACAUUUCCACUCCUAAGCGCACAUACUUGACAAGGCUUUUAUAGGAGUGGUUGUCAUUUCCAGUAGUAGUUUGCCCAUUCUUCAGUACCGUGAACCUGAAAAAAAAAACGUACAAGGACCCGACUGAUCUCGCAUUUGGCCUUUGAAAAGAGUUGGUGUGAAGGAUGGAAGCGUCAUGACAACACCGACCCUUGCCUAUGUGCUGAAGAGAACCAUCCACUCCGUCUUCUUCUGGCACCCUCAGACACUCACUCUUACCCCUACGCUGAGUCCAUUCCCCAUUCAUCUUUUUAUUAAUCAUGACGCCUUUGAUUGCUCUAAAGCGUUUCUUCAUUACGAGUUCUCUUGAUCCUCUAAAUAUUUCCCCCCAUCAAAGCUGCAUACCAAAAACUGUGAUAUGUACUGUGCAACUCGAGUUUGUCUCCAUUGUAUGUAUUAAAAACGUUACACUAUGUCGUAGCGAUUAUAUGUCUGUUCUGGCAUUUUGUACAUUCAUGGCCAGUAUUGCUACUCAUUGCUACAGGAAGCUCCACUGUUGCAUCAUUAUAUAGUCUCAAUGAGUCAUAGUGAACUAUUUUACAUGACAAUAAAAACGGGUUUGUUCUA